rnacentral:rRNA from 2 species
GUUCUUUAAUUGUGAACUAGAAUGAAUGGUUUGAUGAGGGAUAAACUUUCUUUACUUUAAAAAAUGAAUUUUAUUUUUGAGUUAAAAAGCUUAAAUUUAAUUAUAGGACGAGAAGACCCUAUAGAACUUUAUUAUAGACUUGUUAUAAAUUAUUUGGUUUAUAAUUAAUUUAUAAUAUAUUUAUAAUUUUGUUGGGGUGACAAGUAAAAUUAUAUAACUUUACUUUAUUUUUUUAUCAUUAAUUAGUGUAUUUUUGAUCCAUUUUUUAUGAUUAUAAGAUUAAGUUACCUUAGGGAUAACAGCGUAAUUUUAUUGGAGAGUUCUUAUCGAUAAUAAAGUUUGCGACCUCGAUGUUGGAUUAA